rnacentral:rRNA from 1 species
AUUGAACGCUGGCGGCAGGCCUAACACAUGCAAGUCGAACGAGUGGCGGACGGGUGAGUAAUGUCUGGGAAACUGCCUGAUGGAGGGGGAUAACUACUGGAAACGGUAGCUAAUACCGCAUACCAUCGGAUGUGCCCAGAUGGGAUUAGCUAGUAUGUGGGGUAAAGGCUCACCUAGGCGACGAUCCCUAGCUGGUCUGAGAGGAGGACCAGCCACACUGGGAAUGAGACACGGUCCAGACUCCUACGGGAGGCAGCAGUGGGGAAUAUUGGACAAUGGGGGAAAGCCUGAUGCAGCCAUGCCGCGUGUAUGAUGAAGGCCUUCGGGUUGUAAAGUACUUUCAGCGGGGAGGCGUUACCCGCAGAAGAAGCACCGGCUAACUCCGUGCCAGCAGCCGCGGUAAUUC